GCGAGGACAAAUGUAGUCGUGGUACACGAGUAGCUUCUAGCUAUCAUUUUGUACGUGUAUAUAUAAUUGGAUGGUGAUGAUAGGAUAGAAUUAAUGAAUUUAGUUAUAGUCUAUAUGCAUGUAAUAAAGUAAAAGACAAUAGGGAAAAGAGUCCCACCCAUAUUCCAACUUAGUUUUCUUCUUUCCAUCGUUUUCUUUCUUCUAUAGUCAAAUUUACACAUGGAAUCACCUUACACUUUAAUAUCAAUUAUGUGCUCGCUAUAUUUCUUGUUUUGUAGCUCUAGA
rnacentral:lncRNA from 1 species